GCGGAUCGCCUCCAAGCGAACCGAUUCCUGGCCCCAAAAAUAAAAGUAACCAGCAUCUGUUUUGUUGUCGAGUGUAAGCGUAUGUGAGUGUUGUCUUUUGCUGUUGAGUGUAGAAGUGAAUCUGUUAGCAAGUGCAAAGGUGCCAAGUGUGUGGAAGCCAGAAAAAAAAACAAGCCCCGUCGUCAGUCCCUGUUGGAACGUUGAUCGCAGAAGAUGGGAAAGUUCGAGUACUCGCUGGGCCUCAAUGAGCUCAAGUCAAAGGAGCUGCGUCUGUGGCAGGCCCUGAUCGGGGAGUUCCUGGGCACUCUCAUCCUCAACUUUUUCGCCUGCGGUGCCUGCACCCAAGUGGAGGAUGGCACCUUCAAGGCCUUGGCCUUUGGUCUCUCCAUCUUCAUGGCCAUCACGAUUGUGGGUCACCUGAGCGGCGGACAUGUGAAUCCGGCCGUAACUGUCGGCAUGCUGGUGGCAGGACGAAUCAGUUUCCUGCGUGCCCUGUUCUACAUUGUCUUCCAGUGUCUGGGUGCCAUUGCAGGAACAGCAGCUGUCCGUAUCCUCAUCGAUAGGGACUACUACAAUGGCCUGGGACACACGAGUUUGGCGCAGAACAUCACAGAGCUGCAGGGUCUGGGCAUUGAGUUCUUCCUGGGGCUCCUGCUGGUGCUCACAGUGUUUGGGGCCUGCGAUCCCCACAAGCCGGACUCGCGCUAUACGGCGCCAUUGGCCAUUGGCAUGGCCGUGACCCUGGGUCAUCUGGGCACCAUCCGGUACACGGGAGCCAGCAUGAAUCCCGCACGAACGGUGGGCACGGCCUUUGCCACGGACAACUGGACCUCCCACUGGGUGUACUGGGCUGGACCAAUACUGGGAGGCGUGGCCGCUGCCCUGAUCUACACUCAGGUGCUGGAGGCGAAGCCGGUGCCGAAGACGGCGGAGGCGGCCGAUAAGUACCGCACGCAUGCCGACGAACGUGAGGUGAGAGUCCGAUUGAUAGGCGCCUGGAGCGAAGAUUACUUCUAUUGAGUGUAUGCACUUUCGCUCGAACACACACACACUGACACCACAAACACACACACAUACACAUGCACUUCUGCGCAAGCUGGAGGGUACACGGGACUAUGCUUAGGGACAAAAGGAUCUUAAGCUCCGGCGGUGUGCUACCAGCAAGUGGAAGCGGGAAUCGUGCCAAGGAGAGAAAGAGAGGCGUAGAAGAACAAGAAGCGGAACGAGCGAAACAGAUUUUUGAUGUUUCGCCCCACGUCCCUAACUCAUUCAUUUCAGUGUCUAUACUGUCAUAUUAUUUCUGUGUUCUUGUACUUCUCGAUCGUGUCUAUUUAUGUAUUUAUUUAUGCAAUGUUCAUUUUUUAUCUAACUAAUACUUAUACUUAUACUCUUAAGCAGUGCUAAAAAGAAAUGCAAUCAACCGCACAAAGUACAUGUAUUCUCAUGAGUUCACAAUAAAAUGGAAACAAAUAUUGGAACUAAUUAA